CGCAAACGCUAUAGUUAUACAUAAAAAUAUGAGAUUUCGUCUUGGCCUUAAAUUAAUUAAUCAUUUCCAAUAAAAUACUUGCUAUGAACUUACCAAAUAAAUGCAUGACACUGCGAGCAGAAUCUUGGCUGAAUAAAUGUCUUGAUUUUAAAACCGUGGCCACAAAUAUCGAGCGAUGUUCUUCGACUCGAUCUGAAUGCCAUUCGACCGCACAGCUUACGAGAUUCAGAGCUGUUGAGAUCCGAAGACGAAGUAUUAUUGGCAAAACACAAACAAUUGGCCAUUUGUUUAUAAAAAACUGGAUUAGAAUAUACAAAAAAGGUUACGGUUAUGUUCAGUUAAGCUUCGUGCCAGCGAAGACUUGAGUUUGAAGUCGUGUGUUGUGUGCGAGUGUUUUAUAUAUAUGUUAUUAUGUUUGUCGCAGAAUGCGACGCG